GGAAGUGGAAAGCUCACUGGUGGGGCUCCCGGACUUCAAAUCCGGUGUACCGUCUGAGUAAGGCGGUAGGUGGGUUCGAUUCCCAUGCACUUCCGCCA
rnacentral:tRNA from 1 species